rnacentral:lncRNA from 1 species
UAGUUUUGUCAAAUGGAUUCAAACUUUAUCUUUUCUAUCUUCUGUUUUUAGACUCUUCUAGGUCGAGCUCUCCCACUAACAAAGACUCAGAGUCUCUCCCAGCAGGAUGUCCUGGAAAGAGAACUGGAGACGUAUACGCUUCAUACUUUUCUAGGUCGAGCUCUCCCACUAACAAAGACUCAGAGUCUCUCCCAGCAGGAUGUUCUGGAGAGGGAACUGGAGAUGUAUAUAUUUUAGAUAAAGACUCUUCUAGAUCAAGCUCUCCUUCUAUCAAAGACUCAGAGUCUCUCCCAGCUGGAGUGGGAACUGGGGAUGGAUAUGCUUCAGGUAAGAUCUGUAAGGAGAUCAGCUCCAGUAGGUCUGAGAGCAGCAGUGUGGAGGUCAGAUGCAGACCUCAGGUCAGAUAUAAGACCAGCGCUCAGCUGAUUAAGAAGAAGCUGGACCAGAUCAAAGCUGAGCUGCAGAAACUUUCAGAGCAGCACCUGCGUCUGCGUCCAGAACGGCUUCUGACCCCCGCGCCCCUGAUGGAGGACCCUUAAUGAGGUCAGGAAGCGCCCGCCUGUAGAUCUGACCCGACCUGUCAGUCUGUGCCGGUGUGAAAAAUGACUCGCAUGUAUGAUUUUCACUUUAAUAAGCAUAAAGUUGGAGCGUAGCAUGGUUAAUGACUUCGUUUUAUGGGAAUCAGCCCACAGAACUGCUCUAUACUCCACCCACAGAAAUGACUAUAUUAUAUUACACUCUUCUGGCACCAUGCUCCCACUGCCCUGCUAAAAUUCACUCCAUAGUGUUGCUUAUUCUUGCAGUGAGAACAGCAAACAUGAAAUCCUCUUUAAAUUAAGUUUAAGUAUCUGAAAUUUAUUUUUAUACAUUGCUCUCAGGAUUUUAUAAAAACAUUUGACUGAUUUUUAAUUAAGUAAUUGGAUCUACUGAACAUUUCUCCUUCCAUUUUUUAGGUAUUCUAGCUUAUUUUAAGCAUUAUUUCUUGAGAAAACUUUAGUUAUCAUCAUUUCCUCAAUUAAUCAAAAUGAUGUGUCAAUAGAAUUAAAU